GAUGAACGCUGGCGGCGUGCCUAAUACAUGCAAGUCGAGCGGACGGACGAGAAGCUGGCUUCUCGGACGUUAACGGCGGAAGGGUGAGUAACACGUGGAUAACCUACCUAUAAGACUGGGAUAACUUCGGGAAGCCGGAGCUAAUACCGGCCGAUAUUCUGAACCGCAUGGGUCAAAAGUGAAAGACGGGCUUGCUGUCACUUAUAGAUGGAUCCGCGCUGCAUUAGCUAGGUGGUAAGGUAACGGCUUACCAUGGCAACGAUGCGUAGCCGACCUGUGAGAGUGAUCGCCGGCACUGGAGCUGGGACGCCCUCCAGGCUCCUACGAGAGGCACCAGUAGGCUACCUUCCGCAGUAGUCGAAAACCUGGCGGAACGACGCCGCGUGAGUGAUGGCGGUCUUGCGAUCGUAAUACUCUCUUAUUAGGUAAGAACCUCUGUGUCAGUAACUGUACACAUCGUGACGGUACCUAAUCAGAAAGCCCCGGCUAACUACGUG
rnacentral:rRNA from 1 species